rnacentral:tRNA from 1 species
GACUCCGUAGCUCAGUGGUUAGAGCAUGCGAUUGCAGCUACCACUUAGUAUCGCAGGGUCACGUGUUCGACUCACGUCGGGGUCU